CUACGGGAGGCAGCAGCUAAGAAUAUUCCGCAAUGGACGAAAGUCUGACGGAGCGACGCCGCGUGGAUGAAGAAGGUCGGAAGAUUGUAAAAUCCUUUUAAGCAUGAGGAAUAAGGAUAAAGAGAGAAACUUUAUUUGGUGACUGUAGUGCUUGAAUAAGCAACGGCUAAUUACGUGCCAGCAGCCGC
rnacentral:rRNA from 1 species